AUGAGGUGCCCUGCUCAGCUCCUGGGGCUGAUGAUGCUCUGGAUCCCAGGAUCCAUUGGUGAUGUCGUGAUGACACAGACUCCACUGUCCCUGCCUGUCACAGCAGGAGAGCCUGCCUCCAUCUCCUGCAGGUCAAGUCAGAGUCUCCUACAUAGUAAUGGAAACACAUAUCUAGAUUGGUACCUGCAGAGGCCAGGCCAGUCUCCAAGGCUCCUGAUAUAUAAGGUUUCCAAUCGCUACUCUGGGGUCCCAGACCGGUUCAGUGGCAGUGGGUCUGGGACAGAUUUCACACUCAAAAUUAGCAGAGUAGAGCCUGACGAUUUAGGAGUUUAUUACUGCUUCAGAGCACUGGGAAACUUACUGCUUUUCUCCAGUUCUAGCCAUUUAGACAAGAUUGGCACAUAUGAACUGAAAAGUGGAAUUCAAUAA